CACGAGAAGCGCCAGUCUCUGCUCCUCCGGGUGCGCUGUGCACGCGGCUACCGUAAUACACGGCUUAGACGCGCACUCCAGUUCUCGGUGUAGAUAGCGCGACCGAGCGUUUUCUAAGUGCAGAUGGCGUGACCGCGAUAUAAUUCCAAUGGAAAGACCAAAAAGACUUCUUCCUCAAAAAUAUGUGGACAAUGAAGAGACAGGUGUGACCAAGGAUGAAGCAUCAAGACAAGAAAGAAGCAGGUCAAGCAGCCAAGGAUGGAGAGGGGCAGAAGAUUCCGCAUCCUGCUUUCUGAUAGACGAAAAAAAGGAAAAGCACAAGAAGAAGAAGAUCAAGAAGAACAAAAAAUAUAACAUUUUACCUAAAAGAAACAUAUAAUCAAUGAUGAUUGUAAAUAAAUAAAUAAAUAAGUUUAAUGUUA